GCUCGCGCAUGCCCAGGUUAUGCCUUUUCAGCAUGGAUGUAUGGUUUUCAGGUGUGAUUGUAUGGAUGGAGAUAGUUGUCAUCUUAAAACGCCGUUUUAAAAUAAAAGCAGUUGUUUGGUAGUGGUGCAUGUUAGUCCCUCCUGUUAAAUCUUUGAUCCUCCCUAACAAACAAGCACCGCCCACAUUCAAGGUGGUGCAGUGCACAAUGCAGUUCAGGUGAAAACACCUUCUUUAAAUUUCUCAAGGGAACAAACCACUUUGUCUCUAAAAAGACCUCCGACCAAGAAAUAGAUAAGACCAGAGUACAGACGGGCUGGCCAUGGGGCCAGUCGGGCGCUGGGCCGUCAUAACAUCCACAAAGUUUUUAAGGGCUCCACCAGUGUCUUUACUGGCUCAAUCAGUGUUAUUCGUGCGACCUGUCCCAGCUAACAAGCCCAAGGACCCAGUCCGACCAUCGAACCAAAACUGCUCUGGCUUCACUGAGAUGGAGAUCCCCACGAGCGGCUAAAGGACUCCAGCUGGACUCGGAACUGGUUUUUCUUCUCCUCAAAGUGGGAACUCGCCCUCUUCUCCAAACAGACGAGGGCAGGAAAGCCGAGCUAAAGGUCAGCACCCUCAGACACUGAGAGAAGACACGGACAUAUCAGAAGAGGAAGUGCGCUGUCUCUGGAGGUUCACAAAGACAUGUUUGACUGAGAGAGAAAGAUGUUGGAGUUGGACCGAGUGUUGGACUGGACUGUUGUGAGGGAUUCACAGAAGAAUAAAUGACCCUGUUUAUCUCCA